rnacentral:rRNA from 1 species
GUAGGGGGCAAGCGUUGUCCGGAUUUAUUGGGCGUAAAGAGCGUGUAGGCGGUUUGGUAGGUCCGCUGUGAAAACUCGAGGCUCAACCUCGAGACGCCGGUGGAAACCAUCAGACUAGAGUCCGGAAGAGGAGAGUGGAAUUCCUGGUGUAGCGGUGAAAUGCGCAGAUAUCAGGAAGAACACCCGUGGCUAAGGCGGCUCUCUAGUACGGUACUGACGCUGAGACGCGAAAGCGUGGGGAGCGAACAGGAUUAGAUACCCUGGUAGUCCACGCCGUAAACGAUGGGUGCUAGGUGUAGGGGGUGUCGACUCCCUCUGUGCCGAAGCUAACGCAUUAAGCACCCCGCCUGGGGAGUACGGCCGCAAGGCUA